rnacentral:lncRNA from 1 species
AGUUGCUAAGCGCUUCAUUCAUAGUUGCUAAGGCUGGCUUUGAACUCGAAAUCCUUCUGCCUCAGCCUCCCAAACCACUGGGAUUACAGGUGAGCACCACUACGCCCACUAACCCUGAAUGUUUUUGGAACUCUGACUCCAGCUUUUCUGAGUCACUCCACCUUUAUCCAAGUCACCAAAAGUCCCUCUCAAAGACCUGAAGCCUCUUUCCUUGGGUUGUCCCAACUGAAAUGUUGAACUUUCCAUGGAAUAAAACAUCUAAAAACCUUAAGUACAAACUGGUGACUGUUUUGUACUCCUUCUCCCACCCCAGGGUGGUCAGGCAAGUGCUGCUUCAGUAAUCAAUGGGAAGAAAUGCAAAGUGUCUGAAUUUCUGGAUUCUUCUCAGACCUCCCCUCAAAAGCACAUAUGACCCAUCACUCAAUUUCUGACCAUGAUGUCACCCUGAGAUGCUGGGCUCUGACCUUCUACCCUAAGGAAAUCACCCUCACCUGGCUGAAUAGGGAGAAGCAGACCAAGGACAUAAAGAUUGCAGAGACUGGCCUGCAGGGGGAUAGAAGUGGGUAGCUGUGGUGAUGCCUUCUAGAGAGGAGCAGAGAUACACCUGCCAUGUGCAGCAUGAGGGACUGCCCUAACCCCCACCCUGAGAUGGAAUUAGGAAGGGAAGAGAAUCUGUUGUCAGUGAAAGCAGGAUCCAUUCAGGGUCCUUCACCUUCCUUCCCUUCCAUUCUCUUCCCAAAGCCACCCCCUCAGUCCACCAUCUCUCUAUCAUGGGAAUUUUGUUGGCCUGGUUCACCUAGGACCUGUGGUCACUGGAGCUGUGAUCCCUGUUUUGAUGUGGAGGAAGUUAACAGGUCAGGAUGGGGUACAAGUAGUUGUCUAAAUUUUUUUGUCCCACUGGGGGAUUCUAAUCCCCAGAUGGAAGUUUACCCUGCCUCAUUAAUGGGAAGAACCAUCCACACACACAUGCUUACCAGGCUUGGCGUUCUGUUUGCAGAACACUCUGUAAAUUACAUGUGAAAAAUCAAGGACCAAUUUAUUACCGUGGUGACUGUGGCCAAGGGAACCUGAUGCCCAGCAGUUGCAGAUCAGAGGUGAAGGGCCUAUAAGACAGACUUCCAAGAGUGCAGUUGGUCCUCCUUUUUUCGUGUUUCUUGAUCUUACCCUGCAUCUGCAGACACAGUUCUACAAACUUCCCUGGGCCCAGAAUUAGAGGGUUCCUCUGUGGCCUCAUGGCCCUGCCUCUUCCUGGCCUGUCCCAGGAUGUCUUCUCACAGGUGGAAGGAAAGGAAGCUACACACAACUGCCUUUAAUUAUGCAGGUGAGUGAUCCCUGAGACCCUGUGACAGUAUAGACAGGAAUCCAUGGAGGAGCUUGCCCACCCAAUAAUUCCUCCUUGAGUCAUGUGUCCUGUGGGCUGUGUGUCAGUCAUGUGUCACUGUCUCUGGAAGGGACAAUGCUUAGGACUCUGAUAUAUCUCUUAAGGUUUCUAAUAGUGAAACACCAGAGGGCCUGAAAUUGAAGAGAGGGUAGGCCAGAGGGAACAGUACUAUGUAUGGAACUCUGGAUUUGAACAUAUUAUGUAUGGUGGGCAUUUCAGAAUGUCAUCAAGUACAGUGACUGAUCUGAAUUUUUCAUUAUUUUCUUAUACAGUAUGAGACAGCUGCCUUGUGUGGGACUCAGGGAUCCAAGAUUGGUUCAACACAUAUAUACCAAUGUGACUUCAAGAGCUCCUGACUUCUUCUUCUGCAACUGGAAUGUGCAUAUGUCUAUGGGGUCUUUGUUCUUAUCAGCAAAAUGUGAGAAAAUAAGAAGACCCAAACCCCUUCCCCACACUGACUUGUGUAGUCUUUCCUGACCAACUUUUCUAUUUCAGCAGACAGAAGGCAAGAUGUCCCAUCCUGUCUUAAUGUUUUGUAGCACUGAACUGCAAUUUCUUACCUCCCUACUGAAAAUAAGAAUCUGGACAUAAAAUUUGUCUUCAAAAACUUGGGGAAGGGAAUAAAACCUGAAAACCUUCCAGAAUCCACAUUUAUUGUACUAAGUCUAUUGCAGAUAGAUUAAAAAAAAAAAGCUGUGAGGAGCCCAGUAUGGAUGGAUGGAUGGGGCUGGUGCCCAGUUGGUGCUCAGCCCACUGUGGGUUUGGGUGUAUUCACUUUUCAGCUGAGUCAUCUUCACUUCUCAGUUGCCCUUGUCCAUUCAAUAGAACUUGGUCACACAAGGAUCUGAUCACAGGUACAGCCCAGGUAUUGUCCUAUAUCUAAGAUAACAGGUAGUGAGGGUUUUGUGUGGCCAGGUCAACUUAGGCUCAGAUCUGAGUCUCUCAGCCUCAA